rnacentral:rRNA from 1 species
AUUGAACGCUGGCGGCAUGCCUUACACAUGCAAGUCGAACGGUAACAGGUCUUCGGAUGCUGACGAGUGGCGAACGGGUGAGUAAUACAUCGGAACGUGCCUAGUAGUGGGGGAUAACUACUCGAAAGAGUGGCUAAUACCGCAUGAGAUCUACGGAUGAAAGCAGGGGAUCGAAAGACCUUGUGCUACUAGAGCGGCUGAUGGCAGAUUAGGUAGUUGGUGGGAUAAAAGCUUACCAAGCCGACGAUCUGUAGCUGGUCUGAGAGGACGAUUAGCCACACUGGGACUGAGACACGGCCCAGACUCCUACGGGAGGCAGCAGUGGGGAAUUUUGGACAAUGGGCGCAAGCCUGAUCCAGCAAUGCCGCGUGCAGGAUGAAGGCCUUCGGGUUGUAAACUGCUUUUGUACGGAACGAAAAGCCCCGGGUUAAUACCCUGGGGUCAUGACGGUACCGUAAGAAUAAGCACCGGCUAACUACGUGCCAGCAGCCGCCGUAA